rnacentral:rRNA from 1 species
CAGGGGUGUAGCAAUACACUCGCUGGCGACCGGCAAACGGGUGCGGAACACGUACGCAAUCUACCCAAAACUGGUGAAUAGCCCUCCGAAAGGAGGAUUAAUACACCGUAACCUAUUGAAGUGGCAUCACUUUAUUAGUAUAGCUCCGGCGGUUUUGGAUGAGCGUGCGGCUGAUUAGAUAGUUGGCGGGGUAACGGCCCACCAAGUCUGCGAUCAGUAACUGGUGUGAGAGCACGACCAGUCACACGGGCACUGAGACACGGGCCCGACUCCUACGGGAGGCAGCAGUAAGGAAUAUUGGUCAAUGGACGCAAGUCUGAACCAGCCAUGCCGCGUGGAGGAUGAAGGCCCUCUGGGUUGUAAACUUCUUUUAUGGGGGACGAAACCCUGGUAUUCUUACCAGAUUGACGGUACCCUAGGAAUAAGCACCGGCUAACUCCGUGCCAGCAGCCGCGGUAAUACGGAGGGUGCAAGCGUUAUCCGGAUUCACUGGGUUUAAAGGGUGCGUAGGAGGGCAGGUAAGUCAGUGGUGAAAUCUCCAAGCUUAACUUGGAAACUGCCGUUGAUACUAUCUGUCUUGAAUAUUGUGGAGGUGAGCGGAAUAUGUCAUGUAGCGGUGAAAUGCUUAGAUAUGACAUAGAACACCAAUUGCGAAGGCAGCUCACUACUCAAUCAUUGACUCUGAGGCACGAAAGCGUGGGGAUCAAACAGGAUUAGAUACCCUGGUAGUCCACGCCCUAAACUAUGGAUACUCGACAUACGCGAUAUACAGUGUGUGUCUGAGCGAAAGCAUUAAGUAUCCCACCUGGGAAGUACGACCGCAAGGUUGAAACUCAAAGGAAUUGGC